rnacentral:rRNA from 1 species
ACUAGUCUGGGAUACCACUUGGAAACAGGUGCUAAUACCGGAUAAGAAAGCGGAUCGCAUGAUCAGCUUUUAAAAGGCGGCGUAAGCUGUCGCUAUGGGAUGGCCCCGCGGUGCAUUAGCUAGUUGGUAAGGUAAAGGCUUACCAAGGCGAUGAUGCAUAGCCGAGUUGAGAGACUGAUCGGCCACAUUGGGACUGAUACACGGCCCAAACUCCUACGGGAGGCAGCAGCC